GCUGGUAGCUCCGUCGGUAGAGCAUGAGACUUUUAAUCUCAAGGUCAUGGGUUCGAGCCCCAUGUUAGGCA